rnacentral:rRNA from 1 species
AGUGAACGCUGGCGGUAGGCCUAACACAUGCAAGUCGAACGGCAGCACAGAGGAGCUUGCUCCUUGGGUGGCGAGUGGCGGACGGGUGAGGAAUACAUCGGAAUCUACUCUGUCGUGGGGGAUAACGUAGGGAAACUUACGCUAAUACCGCAUACGACCUACGGGUGAAAGCAGGGGACCUUCGGGCCUUGCGCGAUUGAACGAGCCGAUGUCGGAUUAGCUAGUUGGCGGGGUAAAGGCCCACCAAGGCGACGAUCCGUAGCUGGUCUGGGAGGAUGAUCAGCCACACUGGAACUGAGACACGGUCCAGACUCCUACGGGAGGCAGCAGUGGGGAAUAUUGGACAAUGGGCGCAAGCCUGAUCUAGCCAUACCGCGUGGGUGAAGAAGGCCUUCGGGUUGUAAAGCCCUUUUGUUGGGAAAGAAAUCCAGCUGGCUAAUACCCGGUUGGGAUGACGGUACCCAAAGGAUAAGCACCGGCUAACUUCGUGCCAGCCGCCGCAGUAA